rnacentral:misc_RNA from 1 species
AGGAACCGGAUGCGGGAAAACUGCGUGUCCAGGUCUGUGCGGAGGACGCCCGGUAACGGGCGUUCCUACCGCGAG